rnacentral:rRNA from 1 species
AGGGCAUACGGUGGAUGCCUUGGUACCAACAGCCGAAGAAGGACGUGGCAAGCUGCGAGAAGCUGCGGCGAGGCGCAAGCGGCCUUUGACCCGCAGAUGUCCGAAUGGGGCAACCCACCUGGAGUAGUCCAGGUAUCCCGUAAGGGAAGGAACCCGGAGAAGUGAAACAUCUCAGUAUCCGGAGGAAGAGAAAUCGAAGAGAUUCCCUAAGUAGUGGUGAGCGAACGGGGAAGAGCCUAAACCAUAUACAUGUAAGGCUGCGGUCGUUGUGUAUAUGGUGUAGAGGGGCUUUUCAUGCAUAGUCCGCAGGCUAGGCACGGAGUUAUCAAGAUACUUUUUAGCAGAACUGUGUUGGGAAAGCAGGCCAUAGACGGUGAGAGCCCGGUAUGCGACAGAGAGUAUCCUCCGAGAAGAGUUCCCGAGUAGGCCGGAGCACGUGGAAUUCCGGUUGAAUCAGGGUGGACCAUCAUCCAAGGCUAAAUACUGUUGGUGACCGAUAGUGGAUGAGUACCGAGAGGGAAGGGUGAAAAGCACCCCUGGCGGGGAGUGAAAUAGACCUGAACCCGUAUGCCUACAAGCAAUCGGAGCAAGAGAUGCCGCGAGGCAUUGAAUGUGACGGUGUGCCUUUUGUAAAAUGAGCCGGCGAGUUAUUAGACGUAGCGAGGUUAAGGUGCGUAUGUGCACUGGAGCCGUAGGGAAACCGAGUCUGAAUAGGGCGCAAGUUUCGUUUAAUAGACCCGAAGCCGCACGAUCUAUCCAUGGCCAGGUUGAAGUCCGGGUGAAGCCGGAUGGAGGACCGAACCAGUUUCUGUUGAAAAAGAUUUGGAUGAGCUGUGGAUCGGAGUGAAAAGCUAAUCGAGUGCGGUGAUAGCUGGUUCUCCCCGAUAUGCAUUGAGGUGCAGCCUUACGGAAUUGAGAUAUGGGGGUAGAGCACUGGAUGGACGCGGGGGACUGGGGUCCUACCAAAUUCAACCAAACUUCGAAUACCAUAUUUUGUACCGUAGGAGUGAGACUACGGGUGAGAAGGUCCGUGGUCGUGAGGGAAACAGCCCAGACCGUCAGCUAAGGUCCCAAAGCGUAUGCUAAGUGUGGCAAGGAUGUGAGAGUGCCUGGACAGCCAGGAGGUUGGCUUAGAAGCAGCCACCCUUUAAAGAGUGCGUAACAGCUCACUGGUCGAGGACUUUUGCGCCGAGAAUGUAGGGGGCUAAGCAUACUGCCGAAGCUGCGGGAUAUGUGCAAGAGUGUAUAUAUCGGUAGGGGAGCGUUCCAUACGGGGCGAAGCAGAGCCGCGAGGUCAUGUGGACUGUAUGGAAGUGAGAAUGCUGGCAUGAGUAACGCGAAGUGCGUGAGAAACGUACUCACCGGAAGCCCAAGGGUUCCUGGGGAAGGUUCAUCCGCCCAGGGUUAGGCGGGACCUAAGGCGAGGCCGAGAGGCGUAGUCGAUGGAUAGCAGGUAGAUAUUCCUGUCCCAGCCAAUGAGCGUUAAUACCGAAGGGGUGACACAGAAAGCUAGGUGAUCCGGGUGAUGGAAGUCCCGGUCCAAGGGUGUAGGGAGUUUCCGCAGGCAAAUCCGCGGGAAUAAUUCUGAGACCUGAUGGGGAGGCCCUACGGGGUCGAAGUCAUUGAAGCUCGGCUGUCGAGAAAAGCCUCUAGGGAGUUUGUUGGUUGCUCGUACCCGAAACCGACACAGGUGGGCUAGCUGAGGAAGCUAAGGUGAGCGGGAAAACCCUCGUUAAGGAACUCUGCAAGUUGACCCCGUAACUUCGGGAGAAGGGGUGCCACUCUGGUGAAAUAUAAUCAUAUGGAGCUAAGGGUGGUCGCAGAAACCAGGCUCAGGCGACUGUUUACUAAAAACACAGGUCUCUGCAUAAGGCGUAAGCCGAAGUAUAGGGACUGACACCUGCCCGGUGCUGGAAGGUUAAAUGGAGAGGUUAGCGUAAGCGAAGCCUUGAUAUGAAGCCCCAGUAAACGGCGGCCGUAACUAUAACGGUCCUAAGGUAGCGAAAUUCCUUGUCGGGUAAGUUCCGACCUGCACGAAUGGUGUAACGAUCUGAGCACUGUCUCAACGAGGGACCCGGUGAAAUUGUGGUACUGGUAAAGACGCCAGUUACCUGUGGUGGGACGGAAAGACCCCGUGGAGCUUUACUGUAGCCUGAUAUUGGAUUUUGGUCUGUCAUGUACAGGAUAGGUGGGAGGCGUAGAAUGGAGGGCGUCAGCCUUUCAGGAGCCGUUGUUGGGAUACCACCCUUGACAUACCGAAGUUCUAACUGUUGAGUCUGAAUCGGCUGGCAGGACAUUGUCAGGUGGGCAGUUUGACUGGGGCGGUCGCCUCCUAAAGAGUAACGGAGGCGCCC